CCAGUAUCACUAGAGAUCAUACCCAACCCAGUAGCAUUCCGCAUAUAAAAAGCUACUUGUCACAAAUUCACCCAACUAAGAACAGAACGCAAUUCAACAACAUCUUGUUCAAUAUUUUUAUACCAAGGUCUAACAAGGAAAAAUUGUUUAGCAAUGAUCAAAGCACCAUAUUCAAGAGCAGUUCUGCGAUCCUCAUCGUUAUCAAAUUCAAAAAUAAACAUAUUAUCACUAUUAAUGGUAAGGUUGAAAUUACCUUUAAGCGCUUCCAAGCCCUAGAGACAAAAUUCCUAUAUAAAUGAUAAGAAAUCUCUUACCCACAAAAAACACGACCACCAUAUCUUUACAGCGACUAAUUUCCUUCUCAAAAAAUGUUGUAGAAAACUGAGUAAUAAUUCUCUUCCCAUCUUCAAACUUAGGUGGAAAAACGUAAUCUCUGCCUCAGGAACAGGAUCCUUCUGCUUAUCAAAGAACGAAUCAUAUACAUAAGAAAGAGUAAAUUUUAAAGAUGGGAAGUGCUCAAAUCCUGGAGGAACUUCAAGAUCCAGAUCCCUAGAACCAUUAUAAUCAGAAACAGGUUUCGCCAAAUCUCCCCUAACAAGGCCCUUCGUCCUCUGGGAAGACGAAGAUAGAGGCAAGGAUGCCGAAGAGACCAAUUAAAGAACACUCAAAACCCUAGCAAUCACUAGAGAGAAAAAUAGAUUCCACGAAGAAGAUGAAGAAAUUGAAAGAAAAGAUUUGUUUAACGUUUGGUCAAAAUCUCCCUGCCAAAGUCAAUCUCUCUCCUAAGGCAAUAUUGGUGACCUUUUUUUUUUUUUUUUGUCAUUCAUAUACUUAUCAUUCAUAUUUUGAAGUCAUCUGAUUUGUUUAUCAUCAACCAAAUAGAACGUUUACAGUUUGUAGAUUUCGAUUGUAGUUUGAGUAUUUAUGAUAUUAAUCGGUAUUUGGAUAAGUUACCUUUGGAUCUUAAUCCCCUAUUCUUUUGUUUGAAUCAUCAGAACUCUUUAUUUCAAUUUUAUUUGAAUGCAGUUGAAAAUCUAUUUGAUCAUAAAUCAUAAUCAUGGGGAUUAAUUUCCAGUGGUUGAUUUUCAUCCUUGAAGGAAAAAAUCAAUCGAUCUUUAAUCCAACGGUUCUCGGACGCUAGUUCUUUUUCACAAUCAUGUGAAUGCAAGCUUGAUAGCAGGACUCAAAGAAUUUUGAGAUACAAAGUUACACAAUUAUGUUGGUGAAAGGAGAGCAAUUACCCAACCAUGCAACUGCCAAAUUGUUUCGUCUACGAUACUUGGCCAUUUUAUCGGCCAUGGAAUUAGAAAUGCUACUAAUGUAAUUGGUUCUAGAAAACUAAAAACCGUGUAAAAGAAAAGAGUAGUCAUCAAGAGUAGUGUUGCUAAAACAAUAAGUCUGGCUAGUUUUUAUUCUGCAAGUACAAGAUGAUAUUCUGAGCGUCGCUA